AAACUAACAGAUUUACUUCGGUAAUGACGUUAGGAAAGCGAGCGGCGGAUGGGUGAGUAACACGUGGGGAACCUGCCCCAUAGUCUGGGAUACCACUUGGAAACAGGUGCUAAUACCGGAUAAGAAAGCAGAUCGCAUGAUCAGCUUUUAAAAGGCGGCGUAAGCUGUCGCUAUGGGAUGGCCCCGCGGUGCAUUAGCUAGUUGGUAAGGUAAAGGCUUACCAAGGCGAUGAUGCAUAGCCGAGUUGAGAGACUGAUCGGCCACAUUGGGACUGAGACACGGCCCAAACUCCUACGGGAGGCAGCAGUAGCUCAUCUUCCACAAUGGACGCAAGUCUGAUGGAGCAACGCCGCGUGAGUGAAGAAGGUUUUCGGAUCGUAAAGCUCUGUUGUUGGUGAA
rnacentral:rRNA from 1 species